rnacentral:rRNA from 1 species
GCGGGAAGAGCUCAAAUUUAAAAUCUGCAAGGUUCAACCUUGCCGAAUUGUAGUUUGAAGAAGUGUUUUCCGCGGCGGCUGCAGUACAAAUCCUUUGGAACAGGGUAUCAGAGAGGGUGAGAAUCCCGUCUUUGACUGCAGACUAGUUGCACUGUGAUACACUUUCUAAGAGUCGAGUUGUUUGGGAAUGCAGCUCAAAAUGGGUGGUAAAUUUCAUCUAAAGCUAAAUAUUGGCAAGAGACCGAUAGCGAACAAGUACCGUGAGGGAAAGAUGAAAAGAACUUUGAAAAGAGAGUUAAAUAGUACGUGAAAUUGUUAAAAGGGAAACGCUUGAAGUCAGUGUUGCCGGCUGAAAAUCAGCUUCGUGCGGAUGGCUUGCUGCGGUGGAGGGAGUGUCAAAACCCCUUGCCGUAGUACAGCUAGCCGGACGGAGUGCACUUUUCAGUCGACAGGUCAACAUCAAUUUCAGCCGGUGGAAAAAAGCCAGUGGAAUGUAGGUUGGAGCAAUCCGACUGUUAUAGCCACAGGUGUAUACACCGGCGGGGAUUGAGGACAGCAGUGCAGGCCACUAUGGCGGAAGCGCCGCACUUUUCUCCGGGGGGCACGUCAAGACAGCAUGCUGACUUGGUGUGUACACUCUUGGGAACGGGGCGGAUGUACUUCUCCUGCACUAAGGAUGUUGACGAAAUGGCUUUAAACGACCCGUCUUGAAACACGGACCAAGGAGUCUAACAAAUAUGCGAGUAUUUGGGUGGCAAACCCAUAUGCGCAAUGAAAGUGAAUGUAGGUGGGAUCCCCUUCGCGGGGGAGCACCAUCGACCGAUCUGGAUUUUUUAAAGAUAGAUUUGAGUAAGAGCAUAUCUGUUGGGACCCGAAAGAUGGUGAACUAUGCCUGAAUAGGGUGAAUCCAGAGGAAACUCUGGUGGAGGCUCGUAGCGAUUCUGACGUGCAAA